rnacentral:rRNA from 1 species
UGGGGAAUUUUGGACAAUGGGGGAAACCCUGAUCCAGCCAUCCCGCGUGUGCGAUGAAGGCCUUCGGGUUGUAAAGCACUUUUGGCAGGAAAGAAACGUCAUGGGCUAAUACCCCGUGAAACUGACGGUACCUGCAGAAUAAGCACCGGCUAACUACGUGCCAGCAGCCGCGGUAAUACGUAGGGUGCAAGCGUUAAUCGGAAUUACUGGGCGUAAAGCGUGCGCAGGCGGUUCGGAAAGAAAGAUGUGAAAUCCCAGAGCUCAACUUUGGAACUGCAUUUUUAACUACCGGGCUAGAGUGUGUCAGAGAGAAGUGGAAUUCCGCGUGUAGCAGUGAAAUGCGUAGAUAUGCGGAGGAACACAGAGGGCGAAGGCAGCCUCCUGGGAUAACACUGACGAUCAUGCACGACAGCGUGGGGAGCAAACAGG